rnacentral:tmRNA from 1 species
UUGUAAAGCCCUUCACAAAUCAAAUAGGCCAUGCGAUGCAAUCGCACGGAACCGGGAGGCAUUGUUAUAUCAAAAGUUGAGGUCUAACUACAAAUAUUAAUAUUUCAGUGUUUCAAGUAAUAAUUUUGAAAUCAACUAAGAUCGAAUACUUCUAUUUGAAAACUUGUUGUAGCCAAUCUACAUUCUUGAAAUGAUAUCCCACAGAAGUUCUGUCUCGCGACGUCUGAUUCCGGGGUAUAGCAAUGCGGAAAUAAGGUUUUGGAUACUUCGGCCAAAGCUCGAAAACUUCAGAAGAUAAGCAGUAAAUUGAGUGCCUGCGCUCUGUUUACUGUUGAAAAUCAAACGCAGAAUAAGCAUGUAGAAAUUUGAGGUGUUGCUUGUUUGGACGAGGGUUCGAAUCACUCCAACUCCACAA